GAUAUACACAUCAACAAAGCAAAGCCUUCCAGAUAACUUGCACCAGAUUCUUAAUCCCAGAACUUGCAGAUUGAACGGAUCAGAUUUAUUCACUAGCUUCUCACAUGGAUUCUUCUAGGCUGUCUACAGUUGUCCACAGCUGUGUUAAUUAGUUUAGUUACUCAUUUUCUCUAUAAAUACCAGACCUUGUAUAACUUUUAGAUCAUUGGAUUGUAGUUUCUCUCCAAUCCCUCCUUAUGGAGGUUUCUUCUCCUCCUACAAUAGAGUGUCUUUUAUAUGGAACUUAGUCCAGUUCCAUUUGUAUUCCUUUCCUCCUUUUAUGGAGUUCAAUUCAAUAUUGUUUCUUUCUUCAAUGAUGAAGUCUUUCAUAUUGUUUUCAUUCAAGAAUUUAACAGUGAGAAUUAGAAUUCAAUUAUUACUGCUUUAAGCUUUUUCACUUAAAAAUUUGUCCUUCCCUUCAUUUUUCUCUUCACGGAAUAGUAACUUUUUUACCUUAGCAAAGCCUUCAACAGUACCAGUUUGGGUCCCAAAGAAGAUAGUGACCUUUUUCCUCCCAUCGUCCACUUCUUCCGGCUCAGCCACGACCUUGGGUAUGACCAGCUUCGGCGGCUCCACAGCCUUAUUGGCCGAUCCCGCAGUCCAACGCCACACUAGUACCACGAUGCACCCGAUCAGCACUGUCAUGGAGGUGGUAAGCACCAUUAUCAAGUCCCUGUUCUCCAUGCAUCAUCACCAAUGACGGUGGCACCUCCGAUGACCCAUUCGAUUGGUCAAAUUUCAUGCUCUUUAGGACAGCUGUCUUCAAAUCAAAAGGAGAGAGCUUCUCUGAAGUGGAAUCCAUGAAUUAUCAACUGUUUGAGCUACAAUUUUAUACUACUCAAGAAUUAUGGACCCUUUGGCCAACAACAAAAUCUGCCAAAAAAUUCUAAACAAGUUCAAAAAAUUUGAAGAAAAAUUAUGAGCUCUCUAGAGGCUCCCUCUCUCUUUGUUAAUGAGUGCUGUUGUUAGGUGAAUUUUGUUGAGAGUUUUCAGAUAAGUUUGGAGGGACUCUGUCUUCUAAGAAGUAAGAAAUGAGAGACAAAUAUAUGCACUUCGAAAAUGAUACAGCAACAUGGGGACUGAUAGCCCCCAUCAGAAUCCCAUCGGAAGGGACAGGACCGUGCAAAAAAAAAUAAAAAUGGGACCUCUCCCUUACGGGUGGGGUUCGGUCAAGGGGACUGUCAGCCCCCAUUGCUGUAGCAUAUUCCAUAUGCACUUUAUAUGGACACACCCCGCAGAAAAAGAAAAGCGAGGUUUGUGUGGGUGAGGAAGCGACAUAAACGUCAACCAAACCACAGACUAGUCAAAUUCACCUAACAAAAAUUAACCAUUGAUAGAUGGGGGAAAUACAUCAAAAUAGUCUAAAUAAAAGGAGAAUUUUUCAAAUUAGAUUAAGAAAUAAAAACAUUUCCAAAAUAACCUUUAAAAAAUUAUAUUUCCAAAAAUAUUAACCCCUCCGCUACACACUCUGGAAUAAAUGGUAUCAGAGCCAGGUUACAAACCAAAAAUUAUGAUGAAUAUAGUAGAUGAAGAAAAUAUAAUUGAAGAAUUUUUGAAAAAGGUUGAAAAACAUAAGAAACCAAGUUAUCCUUAUUUACCUAAAAACACCACAAAUGAAAAUUUUGGGGAUAUACAUAAAAGAUUAGAAAAUCUAGAACAUAAUCUNAAUUCAAUAUUGUUUCUUGCUUCAAUGAUGAAGCCUUUCAUAUUGUUUUCAUUCAAGAAUUUAACAUGGUAUCAGAGCAAAGAAUUCUUCCUACUGUUGUUUUUUGGUUUUGAGAUUUAAUUCAUCUCAUGUCUCUGUGUCCUACUCAAUGAAAGCAGUUUUUUCACAGUUCAUACAGAUCAUCCUUCAAUUUGUCUACAUCUGAAGAUAACUUUGACUUCAGAUUUUUGCUCUUCUUUUCCAGCACCAGAAUUUUGUGCUGUGUCUGUUUUUCCAGCAUUCCACUGGAUAUGAUUGUCUUUUCCAGCAUUCAUUGAAGGCAAGCCAAAUCCCGUUGAAGGCCUUUGUUUUCAGAACAUUGUUGAUAAUGGCAGAGCCAUUCUCCUUCCAAUUUCUGGAUGUUAACUGAAGCUGAAAUAUUUUUGCUUCUUCGCUAAAGGAUUUCCUCCAUUUCAUGUCUUCAAUACAAUCAAAUUUCAAUCUUCAAAAUCUGCCCUUGGUGCAUCAUGUUUGCAAGUGUUUCUACAUGAAUUUUCCGAAUCUGUGAAUGACAGUUUGGUUGUUGAAGCUUUAACAGGUGCAGAUAGGCAGAAAAAGGUCAAUUAUGGUUGGGCUUGCAUCCUUUUUCACUCUUCUCUUUAGUAACUGAAGCUGCACACAAGAUGUUUGAUAAAAUGUAUAGCAAAGCUCUUCCUUAUUAUUUCUGGGUCUGGAGUACUGGCAUUUUUCUUGAACAACAUUGUGAAUCCAGGAACUUGUUCCAAUUCAUCUAUAUCAGAUUUUGUCAUCUUAAUCUUCAAGAUGGACUAUAGUUGAUCUUCCAAGUCCAUCUUGAGGGGGGUGUGUUAAGAUAUACACAUCAACAAAGCAAAGCCUUCCAGAUAACUUGCACCAGAUUCUUAAUCCCAGAACUUGCAGAUUGAACNNN
rnacentral:lncRNA from 1 species